UCCUUCGUAGCUUAGUUGGUUGAAAGCAGCAGUCUGGCGUACUGACGGUCGUGGGUUCGAGUCCCAUCGAAAGAA